rnacentral:rRNA from 1 species
GACGAACGCUGGCGGCGUGCUUAACACAUGCAAGUCGAACGGAAAGGCCCUGCUCUUGUGGGGUGCUCGAGUGGCGAACGGGUGAGUAACACGUGAGUAACCUGCCCUUGACUUUGGGAUAACAUCAGGAAACUGGGGCUAAUAUCGGAUAGAAGCUCCUGCAGCACGGUGGGGGGUGGAAAGUUUCGGCGGUUGGGGAUGGACUCGCGGCUUAUCAGCUUGUUGGUGGGGUAGUGGCUGACCAAGGCUUUGACGGGUAGCCGGCCUGGGAGGGUGACCGGCCUCAUUAGGACUAAGGGAGGCCCCAGACUGGAACGGGAGGCAGUGGUGGGGAAUUUUGCACAGUAAGCGGGAGCCUGUGACGACAGCGCCGCGUGCGGGAUGACGUCCUUCGGGGUAUAAACCGCUUUCGCCUGAGACGAAGCGGUAGUGACGGUAAUGAGUAAAGAAGCACCGGCUAACUACGUG